CUUCCAGGUGAAACCAGAGAGAGCUUGACCUCAAUGUGGGUACCGACGGUCUAAUUUCCUGAUGCUUGGAGGAGGACAUGUAAGAGGGACCGCUGGACUCUGCAGAGGGAGAAGGAUGCGCUGAGACAUUCCAUUCCAACUCUCUCACAAAGCUACACAUGAAUCCCUCAGAGCUAGGAGGAGUUGCACAUAAAAAGUAACUCAGCCACCAUUACCAUCAUUGCCAUCAUCACCAUUACCCCGAGAGAGGAGCAUCUGCUCAAUGUCCUGUAAUCGACGGCUCGGAAAGCUGUUGCCUUACCAAGAGCACCGAGGGGAAUGGGUGCACUGGGAAGGUGCUCUCCUAGGUGGAGACUACCUUAGUUCAGGCUGAGGACAGAGGAGCAGAGACCCUGUUCCCCAGUGAAGGCCUGCCAAUGUUCUGAUGCCUUUGGGGUUGCUGAUGCUCCUCAUUGCACCAAGAGGAGCAACUGAUUUUCUGAUUUUCUGGUUGGCUUACCCCGUUGAUUGCAAUUGAGCUGAAUCUUUAAAUUGAGCUUGCCAGAAAAACUGGUACCAAUUAAAGAUGAGCCUUCUGCUCUCCAUGGCUGGCUGUGGUUUAGAGGCCUCAGGGCAG
rnacentral:lncRNA from 1 species